UACGAAGGGUGCAAACGUUGCUCGGAAUUAUUGGGCGUAAAGCGCGCGUAGGCGGCUUGGCAAGUCGGAUGUGAAAUCCCUCGGCUCAACCAAGGAAGUGCAUCCGAAACUGCCGAGCUUGAGUACUUAAGAGGAUCGCGGAAUUCCGGUGUAGAGGUGAAAUCGUAGAUAUUGGGAAGAACACCGGUGGCGAAGGCGGCGACCUGGUCCUUGACUGACGCUGAGGCGCGAAGCGUGGGGAGCAAACAGG
rnacentral:rRNA from 1 species